rnacentral:lncRNA from 1 species
CCCCGGCGGGGGUGAAAACGAGGGGAAAGGACUGGCCUCGCGUCUCUCGGGGGGCGGGAAGAGGAAGAAAAAAACACACGCCCGCUUUCCUGAUGCGUUUACGGGCCCCACCGUGAAGGCUAGCGUUCGGGAGCCUGCUGCUGCUGUUGUUUUCCCCAGUGCCGCUUUCUCUUCUGUUGCCGAAGUUUAGGCCUAACCUAAACGGGCCGCUUCCUAACCGCCACCAACCAGAGUUUCGGGACUCAAACCUUACAGAUUACUCCCCUGCCCCCAUCAACCCAAGCUAUUAAUCUUGCUUCUUGCUCGCUCCACCAUAGCGCAUCUUCCCACCAGGAAGGGGCACAGCUGGCUACACCGGGGUGUGUCUGUACUUUUCAAGAAAUGUCCAGAGUUCUGUGACCAUGUUUUCUGAGCUCCAACUCAUGAUAUGUGAUGAGGAAUUUUUCUGGCUGACAGAGCAGUCUCUAUCUGGAAUGUUGCCACUGUCAUGACAGAAGGAUAAGAAAAGUGGUAAAUUGCCCACUGGUUCUUGAAGCGUAUGCUCACAUUUCUUUCACUUUUCAUCAGCCAAACCUUUGCCAUGCCCGAAAGCAACAAGAAGCAGGGCAUACUCCAACAGAAGGGACACCACAAUGAAGGGCACUGAAUGUGGGUGAAUAGUAAUUCAGUUCCACACCAUGUUUAAGAUUUUGAUGUUUCUUUUAGGAGCGAUGGAAAACCGUUGAAUAAAUUUUCCAUUUUUAACAAAUCAUUCUGGUCAUGUUGAUGAGAACAACAAAUUAUAAUUGGGCAAGAGUGGAUUGGGGAAGAAAAAUUAGGAGGUCAUUUCAGUUUUCUAGGCAAAAAAGGAUAGUACUUUAGACUAGGGUUGUGACACUGGAAAUGGAGAGAAGCCAAUAGAUUUAAAAGAUGGGAGGAUCUAGUAAUGUGCAGAGAAACAGAGGUGAGAGACUGUGUGGCCCCAGGAUGGUGGAAGAAAUGUGGCCAAAUUGGUUCCUGAUGUCUUACCAUUUGCUGGCUCCAGUCUUUUGGGAAGUUAAGCUACUCUAUGGUCUGUUUGUUCUUAGGUUUCCUGUGUUCUCCUAAUAAGUCUCCCUUUUUGCUUAAGUUAGUCUGUGUGUGGUGUGUGUGUGUGUGUGUGUGUGUAUUCUCAAGCAAAUAGCCCUAAAACAUUAAGCCAAGGUGAGAACCAUCAGAGAAAGAGUGAC